rnacentral:rRNA from 1 species
UACAGAGGGUGCGAGCGUUGUCCGGAAUCACUGGGCGUAAAGGGCGCGUAGGCGGCUUGGUAAGUCGGGGGUGAAACGCUGCGGCUCAACCGCAGCACUGCCUUCGAGACUGUCAGGCUUGAGCACGGUAGAGGCUGGUGGAAUUCCGGGUGUAGCGGUGGAAUGCGUAGAGAUCCGGAAGAACACCGGUGGCGAAGGCGGCCUGCUGGGCAGUAGCUGACGCUGAGGCGCGACAGCGUGGGGAGCAAACAGG